GGCGAAUCCACGGACUCAGAGUGGUCCCCGCCAGCCUCUGCAGACACUGAACUGUGGCCACCCUUCCUUCUUGAGGCUGUCUUCCCGUUGAUGUUUAUUGCUCCGUAUUUCCAGAGUUCUCUUGACUUUGUCUCCCGCUAGUUUCUUCUGCCUGCUUGACAGGGAUUCACAGCCUGGAGGCAGGCACAGCUCAUCUCCUUUUGUGGAUUCGGGUUGCCUCCUAACAGAUCUCAGCCGCCCACGCUUACCUCCAUCCAGUAUUCAGUUCACUCUGCAGCUGGGGUCAUCUAUUCCAGAGAGAAGCGUCACACUCAACCAGACCACAGCUUCCCAUCAGUUCAGUUCAGUUCAGUCAUUCAGUCAUGUCGGACUCUUUGUGACC
rnacentral:lncRNA from 1 species